AGUGAACGCUGGCGGUAGGCCUAACACAUGCAAGUCGAACGGCAGCACAGUAAGAGCUUGCUCUUACGGGUGGCGAGUGGCGGACGGGUGAGGAAUACAUCGGAAUCUACUUUUUCGUGGGGGAUAACGUAGGGAAACUUACGCUAAUACCGCAUACGACCUACGGGUGAAAGCAGGGGAUCUUCGGACCUUGCGCGAUUGAAUGAGCCGAUGUCGGAUUAGCUAGUUGGCGGGGUAAAGGCCCACCAAGGCGACGAUCCGUAGCUGGUCUGAGAGGAUGAUCAGCCACACUGGAACUGAGACACGGUCCAGACUCCUACGGGAGGCAGCAGUGGGGAAUAUUGGACAAUGGGCGCAAGCCUGAUCCAGCCAUACCGCGUGGGUGAAGAAGGCCUUCGGGUUGUAAAGCCCUUUUGUUGGGAAAGUAAAGAAGCAGGUUAAUACCCCGCUGUUCUGACGGUACCCAAAGAAUAAGCACCGGCUAACUUCGUG
rnacentral:rRNA from 1 species